CUCCCCAACGGACGCGCGCUCACUUCCGCCGGAACCCUGUCCCCUUCUUCUCCCCCCCACCCCACCUUCCGAGGCCGUUUGAAAUUUCCUUUUCCUCUAUGCUCGCAGCAACCCCCCCUCCCCGUCCAAUCCCCGUUAAGGCCUCGUCCUUCUUAACCACGCCCACCUGCUCCACUGGCCGCGGGUUGAGUCCGAGAGAGGAGGGUGAAUAUCGCACCCUUGUCCCAGAUAACAGACUCCACCUCGCGCCCCCCCACCUCACCAAACUAGGAGGGCGCACGCGACCCGAAAAAAAAAAGGCAGGAGGGGGAGGGGAGAGUUAACCUCCGAGGCGCGCGCUUCUCGCCUCAAUUAACGAACCCCGAGAUCGGGCCCAGUCGGUCCGCACAAGCAGAGACUGAGGGAGGGAAGGAAAUGAGAAUGGGAAAAGAAAGGAAAAUUCAAGGAAAGCAGCCCUACCCCUCCUCGCCAUUACCCAAGGAGAAUAAGGCUGGGAAGAAGGGGAGAAAAGAACAAGAAGACCGGGAUACAUUGCAAGAUAUGCUGGUUGACCUCAGGUUUCUUUUGAUUUGCAUUUCUUUUAUUAUCAAGAUUUGGAACAUUCCUUCAUAAGAUUGUGUUGAUUCUUGCUCGGCAAACAUUUUUUAGAAUAAAAGAAAAAGCCGUUGUAACGAAGAAACUUAACCAACCAAAAUGAACCUACACGAUGGCCAUGUCCAUAAAUGUAUCUUUUUCUAUGCCUUGUGUCCAUCACCUUUCUAUCAGGAGGCUGAGUCUCUUAUACUUCCAGCAGCAAAGGAAACCAAAUGGACUGUGUCCCCUUCAAGGACCAUCCCAGGCUGUACCACAGAAGAAGGGGAAAAAAGAAAGACCAAGGGUUAAAGGGAAAGGAUGGAGAAGAGAUUCCACCUGCAACUGCAGGGGAUGUUCAUUCCAUCAAGUCUAUGGACAUGGCAGCCUGGCCUCUUCCAAUAGCCCCCAUACCUCUCUCUACCCACACAAAACAAGGGCAAAUUCUACCACAAACUGGAAGCCAGACGACUGAGAAAUAAGUGAGACGAGAGUUAAAUCGGUGGGUAUGGACAGCUUUUUCUGGGAUUUUGGUUAUAAAUGGAAGCAGAGAUAUAUGAGGAUAGCUUGAGAGGUAAAGGCUGCUAUUUUUUAAAGUGGAAAUUCUGGGCAUGUUUGUAAGGAGGAAGGAAGGACUUAGUGCAUAAAGAUGGGCUUCUCCUGUGACUUUGAACAUCAAGCAAAUCUUAACCAAGUCAGCCUUGGAAAGAUUUUUUCUCCUUUGAAUUCCAGUAUCAUAUACAGUCUCAAACACCCACCGGUGUAAAUCACGUUUUGUGUUUUUGUUUGUUAUCCUUCUCUAGGUGUAUCAUUCCUCUGAGGAGUUUAUAAACUUCUUCAGGGAAAAUAGAAAAAGAGGCCAUGUCCAAUAUAUGCAUAAGUUAAGACAUCACCCCAUGAUAGUCCUCUUCAAAAAUGAAGGAUGGGAAUUGAGAGCCAGGCCUGGAGACAAGUGGUCCUUGGUUCAAAUCUGGCCUCAGAUACUUCCUAGUUGUGAGACCCUGGACAACUCACUCAAUCCCAUUUGCCUAGCCCUUACUACUCUUCUGCCUUGGUACCAAUACUUGGUAUUGAUUCUAAAACAAAAAGUAAGGUUAUUUUUUAAAUUAAGAGGCUACUAUGUGCCUGGCCCUAUGCUAAAUCAUUGCAAAUAUGAUCUCAUUUGAUUCUUCCAAUAAUCCUAUGAGGUAGGUUUUAUGGUCCCCAUUUUAUAGUUGAAGAAACAGAGGCAAACAGGCUUAAGUGACUUGUCAGGAGUCAGUCAGUGUCUGGGGUCAGAUCUGAACUCAGGAAGAUGAGUCUUCUGACUCUAGGCCAAACGCUCUGCUACCAAAUUAUCCUUGGUAAGACCUUAACGUCCCCUAAAGCUUCCUGUAUCUCUCUUCCCCUUUUAAGCCACAUAUCUAAAACAGCUGUCUAUAUUUAUUGCCUCUGCUUCUCCUCUUCUCACUUAUUUCUCAGCCUACCACUCAAUUUUAACUGCCUUCUCCAAAGUUACCAAUAAGCUCUUAAUAACCCACUCUGAUGGCCUUUUCUCAAUCCUCCCCAUUCUCAAUAUUUCUGCUGAAUUUAACAUCAUUAACCUCCUGGAUUCUUCCUCUUCUCUGGGCUCUCAGGACACCUUCCUCUCUUAGUUGCCCUCCUACCUCCCUUGGGAAAUCCAUCUCACAACCCCUAAUUUUCAGUAUACCCAAAUGCCCCUUGUCCUCUCUCUUCUCUUCAUUCUCAGGGACCUCCAUGGCUCGCAUGGGUUUGGUUAUCAUUCCAUGCAGAUGAGUUCCAGAAUAAGGUAUGUGAGCUCCAGUUGCACACCUCAAACCGAAGAUUAGAUAUUUCACUUUUUUAAAUAGCAAAUUUCCACAUCAGUUUUCUGAUUGUGAGUUUAGACUCACAGAACCACGGAAUCCUCCUCUUUCCCUCUGUGAGGCUAAGUCCCCUGCUUGGGUUCACACGGGGCACGAGGGUCAGAGCUGCUAGUUGCUGACACAGGGAGUGAUGUACACACAUAGAGAAUAUGAGGCAGAUACAGGCGUGUUGUUUUUCGUCCUUUGUUUUCAAGCUCUUACAGACUUUUAUAAAGGGAGGCAGAGUUGUACAAAGUCGUCAACCUCACUCUCUUGUCCGGAGUCAUCAAAGUCCAGUGGCAGAUCAAGAGUCAUGGACGCAGGAGGAAAUUCUUUUGU